UGCUCCCAAUUCUGUCCGUCUCAUCUAUAAAACAGGAGCACUCACUCUGCCUCACAGGAAUGGUGUGGGAUUACCUCACUCAGAUGCCUAGCUCAGCACCUUGGGUCCAUAAGCUUAGCUGCUUCUCACUGCCUCUUCCUCACACAUGGGAAAGCGCCCCAGGAACCAGCAAGCUCCAGAAUGCACAGCUUGCUUAUGAUGAAGGCAAGGAAUGUUUUGCAGUCAGACCCAGCCUUUUGGUUGAACACCGCAGCAAUUCCAGGCCCUGCCUCUCUCUUUCCUUUCUGAGGAGGACAUCACUUGAUCUGGCCCAUGGUAUCUCCAGCUCCUCUGGCGUUCUGUGAGGUGAAUAUUUAUCCUGUGCAUGGUGAGUACCAAAAGGAAACCCGUGUAUUCCAUUAUAAGGAGAAACUGCUUGUCCCUGGAACUAGAGUAACUUGCUGAGCCCCCAGGGCUUUGAGCGGGUCUGUCUGGGUUUGCCCCUCCACCCCUCUGCUCUCUUUAUAGAGAGGUUAAUUACUAAGUAAGGCUGCCACGGGCCCUGACUACAAGGAAGUUUCUGUCCUCCUGAGGAAUGUUACUGUCUUGGUUGAUCUUAGGGUUUAACACUCUGAGAAGAAAGUGCUUGAUUCUUUAAUUUCCUAGUCUUGGAAAAGGCCUCUUUGGUGUAGUUCUGAGGUCCAGAUAACACACAUUGUAAGCAUUUACUGAUGCGGAGAGACGCUCUGUCCUGGAACAGCAGCAUUCUUUCGGUUAAGUGUGGUGCCUGUGGUAUGCCUUCUCUCCUGAUCAGUUGAUGUAUCAGCAUUCAGGAGAGUAAUAUUUAAUAUACAAGAUAGUUUAUAUAUAGGAUUUACAAGGUAGGCUUGCAAUGGUCACCUGCAGAGCCAGGUGUGGAAGAGCUGGUCAAUCUAUUCAAAACUGGGAGACCUGGAGCUCACUGCCCAGUCCUACUGGAGUCUGUAUUGAGAAGCCCAAGGGUCUACAUUGGAAGCCUGAAGAGUCUGCACUGGAAGGGGAAGAACGUGCUGGAAACCUGGUGAUGGAUGUCCAAAGAUGAUGGUGGAGACUGGAGCUCCUCUGAAGAAGCAGAAAUGAGAUUUUCUUCAUCCUUCCCUUUUUAUUCCAUUCAGGCUACAAGGUUAUUGGUUGAUGCCACUCACACCCAGGGUGCAUCUUCUCUCUUCACUAAGUCCCUCAUUCAGCCACACCCAGAACUAUGCUAAGCCAAUCAGCUGGGUGUUCUUAUUCAAGCUGACACAACAGUUAACUAUGAUAGUUGACUUUCCAAUGGAACAUGGUGUGGCCCGGGAAAUACUGCUUUGCAAAUAUUCUUUCAGUGAUGGGACCUUGGGCCAUGAGACAGGAAAUCUGUGCCUAGUGUUCAGCCGACACCUGAAAGGUGAGAAAUAGGGGUAUUUUAAUCCUGAUUGGUUGUUGGAAAUUUAGGGUAAUCUUCACUCUCAUAUGCUUAAGUCUCCCAAAGAGCACAGAUGAGACUUGGGGUGAAGUGACACAACUGUGAAGCUACUCAGGUAGCUUUGGAAGGUGCUAGAUGCAUCUUAUAUGCUCUGAAAACUGAUGAGGAAGUGUGAGAAAGCAACAGAAUUUAUAUGGAUUAUCACUGCUAAUUAGUGUGCAGACCACCUCCUCUGUCCCCUUUUAUCUGUCUCUCUUACCUUCUUUCAUGAAGCAGGAGAUGAAUUCACAAUUCAAGUUUUCUCUUUAGAAUAUGACACUUACAGGAAAUUAUAUUUUCUCCUAUUUAUAGCUUUUUCAUUUGCAUUUAUGAAGCUGGUAAUGUCUCAUAAAUAUUUCUUGCCAGAUUAAAUAUUAAUCAGUAGAGUUUGUUGAAUUAUAUUCUGAAACCCUAACUAAAUCUCUUCUAAGACAAAUAUUUUAAGUACUUUUCCCUCAUGUCAGAAGAAUUUCUCAUAUACUACUUGUAUAUGUUAAUAAGUUUAUCUAGAAAGACCAACUAUCUAUCAAUUAAUGAAAUCUAAUUUCUCACUUUUACAAAAUCAUGUGACUGCUAUCCUGGUAAACGCAAAAUAUUGGCGACACCGUUGAAUCCAUUCUAGAUUAUAUCAUUUUUCCUCAAAAAAGAGUCAGCAACCUGAAUUUACUGUUC
rnacentral:lncRNA from 1 species